CAUAACCCUCCACACAAACAAACAUACAAUAACAUUAAAGCACAUCACAAACAUAUACAUAUUUCCAACACAUACUAUAAACAAACCAAUAACAUAAGCUUCACCCAUUUCUAUCUAAAUUAAAACCCUCUUUAUCCAUACUCCCUAACCUGGCACACUGGUCUGCUCCAAGAGCUCUUAAACAGGUGAUUGAGCCGCUUUCACUCUUUUGCUCCACAUCCUGCAAGAAGCAACUAGGACAGGUAGGAUGGCCAGUCCCACUGUCUCUUUUCUGUUACAAGCUGUCAAUUUAAUUGUAUAUCAAAUAACCUAAUAAAAGACUCCAAAAGA